rnacentral:rRNA from 1 species
AGCCGGGUGUUGGUUCCGGUAGAGAUCGAGGGAAAUUAGUACCGAAGUCUGAGAUGAAAGAUGGCGAGAAAAGCUGUGUGUAUUUCUGAGGUGCCCGUACCGCAAACCGACACAGGUAGGUAGGAAGAAGAUUCUAAGGCCAACGGGAGAAGGGUUGUUAAGGAACUCGGCAAAUUGACCCCGUAACUUCGGGAGAAGGGGUGCUCCAGAGAUGGAGCCGCAGAGAAUCGGCCCAAGCAACUGUUUACCAAAAACACAGGUUUGUGCUAAAUCGAAAGAUGACGUAUACGAGCUGACGCCUGCCCGGUGCUGGAAGGUUAAGAGGAGAUGUGCAAGCAUUGAAUCGAAGCCCCAGUGAACGGCGGCCGUAACUAUAACGGUCCUAAGGUAGCGAAAUUCCUUGUCAGGUAAGUUCUGACCCGCAUGAAAGGCGUAAUGAUUUGGGCACUGUCUCAACAGCCCGCCCGGCGAAAUUGUAGUACCGGUGAAGAUGCCGGUUACCCGCGACAAGACGGAAAGACCCCAUGGAGCUUUACUGUAGCCUAAUAUUGGGUUUCGAUGUUGCAUGCACAGGAUAGAUGGGACUCUGGGAAACCAAGGCUUUGGCUUUGGCGGAGAGGCCGUUGGGAUACCAUCCUUGCGAUAUUGGAAUUCUAACCUGCGGCUCUGAAUCGAGUCGGGGGACAUUGUUAGGUGGGCAGUUUGACUGGGGCGGUCGCCUCCUAAAGAGUAACGGAGGCGUUCAAAGGUUCGCUCAGCUUGAACGGAAAUCAAGCAAAAGAGUGCAAACGCAGAAGCGAGCCUAACUGCGAGACUGACGGGUCGAGCAGUAACGAAAGUUGGAGUUAGUGAUCCGGUGGUAUGUGAGUGGAAAUGCCAUCGCUCAACGGAUAAAAGUUACCCUGGGGAUAACAGGCUGAUCUCCCCCAAGAGUCCACAUCGACGGGGAGGUUUGGCACCUCGAUGUCGGCUCAUCGCAUCCUGGGGCUGUAUUCGGUCCCAAGGGUUUGGCUGUUCGCCAAUUAAAGCGGUACGCGAGCUGGGUUCAGAACGUCGUGAGACAGUUCGGUCCCUAUCUGUCGUGGGCGCAGGAUAUUUGAUGGGAGCUGUCCCUAGUACGAGAGGACCGGGACGGACGUACCUCUGGCGCACCAGUUGUUCCGCCAGGAGCAUAGCUGGGCAACUACGUACGGAUCGGAUAAACGCUGAAAGCAUCUAAGCGUGAAGCCGACCCAAAGAUAAGAUAUCCCACUGAUU